CUUGGGUUAGAGAGAGAAUCUAGAGAGAGAAAGUGUAGAUUUGAGUUCCUCGUAAUAGGCAAAGAUCGCCUACUUAGAAGAAACACAAAAAGGAAGUCGGUGUAAGAUGCAGGUCAGAAGACCUAUGCAGGAAAUAAUGUUUGAGCAAUGCUUUAU